rnacentral:ncRNA from 1 species
GGUAGUAGCGAAUAUUGAAACGAGAACUUUAAAGGCCGAAGUGGCGAAGGGUUCGAUGUGAACACCAGUCGAACAUGGGUCAGUCAGUCCUAAGAGAUGGGCGAAGGCCGUUCGGAAGGGUGGGGCGAUUGCCUACGUCGCCCCUGGCAAAUCGAAAGGGAGCCAGGUUCAGAUCCCUGGACCUGGAGUGGCGGAGACAGGCGCCCAGUGCGGCGACGCAAACAAUUCCGAGCGAAGCUGGGGUGUGCCCGCGUUUCGGCGUGGGUCCCUCGGCCCGGUCCUCUCCGUUGACCCUUGUGGAAGGCGGAAAAGACGGGAGCUGGCGGGCCGGCCGGUGACUCUUGACCAGUGGUUCUUAACCUUUUUGGAGGUACUGACCCCCACCAGUUUCAUAUGCGCAUUCACCGAACCCUUCUUAAUUGAAAAAAUAAAAUUCAAAACAUAGGUAUAUAUUUUACUGGUGCACAAAAUGAACCGUGCAUCAACAUCAGUGUUCAAAGAACAAAACC